AUCUCUCCUUAGCCUUUGGGCUAAGGUCAAGUAUAGUAACUGUCCUAUCAGUUUAGUGUCUUAUAUGUUUUCUAUCUGAGGACAUUUUAUUAAAUGGAUUUUUGAAGAAGGAAGUUUGGAAUAGGAGCUUUCUUCAUCCACCCACGCAUAAAAACAAACAAGCAAACUACAGUAUAUAACUCAA